rnacentral:misc_RNA from 1 species
UUUUCUAUUUCUACCUGUAUAAGUGAAACCCUUAUACCGAGCCAACGGCCCUCUCCACGACAUAUCUUCUUCUCUCCACAAACUAUUUCUAAUCGGAGCUCUUCAAUUUUUGUUAGGGUUAGGGUUGAUUAGAGCUAUCGGAGUUUGUAAAGAAUAGUGAGGGGUUGCAGCCAACCAGGAGAUGUAUAAGGGAAUAGGGUUACAGACCCCAAGAGGGUCUGGCACCAAUGGUUAUAUACAGACCAACAAAUUCUCCGUGAAGCCAAAGACUGCUAAGGUUGACCAGGGCACUGCUGGUUUCACCAAGAAACCCAAUAAGGAUAUACUUGAGCAUGAACGCAAGCGCCAAAUCCAUCUCAAGCUUGUUGUGCUUGAAGACAUCCUCGCUGAACAAGGAUAUACCGAUCUGGAAAUUGCUGACAAGCUUCAAGAUGCUAGGAAGAUUUUAGAAGCUGCCUCAGCCUCUUAGGAAAGUGGUGGACCUGUUGCUACUGUGGUUAGUGAGACAAAGUAAACUGUCUCCCCCCUAGUUUUUUUUGUUGGUAUAAAUUGUUGAAAAUUAUUCAAUAUCCCAAUAAUUAAAUCUUAUUUCUGAUUGUUUUGAUAUUUGUUACAAGAUUAUUGUGACUGUAAUCUUAAUCUUUUUGCAACAUUGUUUUAACGGUGUUGGAUUCUUAUUUAUAGUAUAUCUAGUUGCACUUGAUUAGUUGAAAUCAUGUUAGUCUCUGUGUCAAAACAAGUUUUAUUGGGGAACAGUCACGUUGCACCACUGGUGAAUAGAAAUCGUUUAUAAUAACUGGUGGAAGCUUCUAGUAGAUCUAAUUUAAGACUAUGCAUGGUCAACAUAGUUUGAUGCACUUGAAGAUAGUGGUUAUAUUAUAUAUGCAAUUCUUUGUUGACCAAAUUAAGGCUGAUUUAUUGCUGUGGCAGAAUUCUUU